rnacentral:snRNA from 1 species
GUGCUCUCCUUGGCAGCACGUAUACUAAAAUUGGAAUGAUACAGAGAAGAUUAGCACGGCCCCUGCGCAAGGGUAAAACGCAAAUUCAUGAAGCGUUCCAUGUUAAA